GCAUGUGUUACUUUUUCAUAUUUUGUUCUCAUUUUUUAUUUUUCAGAUGUUAACGUUAUUUGUAAUUGAGUACAUAUUAUGAUCAAAAUAAGAUGCAUAUUAAAUUUCAACAACGCAGCCAAGUUGUGUUAUUACUUAUUAAUUAUGGUACUUUUUUAUAUUUUGUCUCGUAUUUUUUUUUUUUGAGGUGUUAAUGUUAUAUGUAAUUGAGUACGUAUUAUAUUAAUUCAAUAUGUACUUUAAAUUCCAUGUACGCGGCCAAGUUGUUGUUGUUGUUAAUUAUGUUACCUUUUUCAUAUUUUGUUCUCGUUUUUAUUUUUUCAGAUGUUAAUGUUAUUUGUAACUGAGAAAAUAGUAUGUUAAUUCAAGAUGUGCUUCAAAUUUCAUUUACCCAGCCAAGUUAUUAUUA
rnacentral:lncRNA from 1 species